GGCACCACAGCAAUAAUAAAAACUCGGAGUGAACAUUUGACGCUCGACAUGGGGGUGGCACCUCAGGUGAGAGCACACAGUCAAUUAAAUGCAAGAGUGUCGCGCUAUAUCACCGAGCACCUGUCGGUAGCAGAGGAAUCAAUAAAGUUUUCUUUCUCAGAUGUCAAAUGUUGAGUAUAUUGUGUGUGACAUGACUGCUGUGUAAAUGAAGGUUUGGAUCGUUGUGAAGAACAUUUAAAUGGCACAACUUUUCUUAGCUCUCUUCAAAACCUUUCAAGUGUUUACAAGAGGCCUCUUUCGCAAAGAUAACACCUCAGAUACAACCCUGUUUAAUGAUGUCAAUACUUCUCAUCAUUCUUUAGACUUGUAAGACAGAAAAAUGUGAAAUCUGUCCAAUAUGAAUGGAGCACUUGAUAUGAAGAACAGUUAACGCUAGUCACUUGUGACUGACAUGGCAAUACGUUGAACGUUGGAGUGUUAAAGUAUAUGACAAAAAACAGUGUGACCAUCAUCACCUUGGAUUCUCGAACUCUUUGCAGGAUGAUGUCAUGUUCCUCUUGACCCAUAUCAAAGACCUGACGAAGACAGUAGAAGUUAUGAACAUGAAGAGGGAGGUGGAAGGAUGCUGGUAAAACUGACACAUGUAAGAACAAUUUUACACAUCAGACACUUCAAACGCAAGACCUUUUGCCAUCUCUGUAUGAUUGGUCUGAGAAUGGAUUUGUGCUCCUCUGGAGUGACAGGGGUUUCAUGGGUGUAAUAUAAGUACCAAACAUCAAUCCCCAUUGGACAUGGGCUUUGAUGUUUAAUUAUGUCUGAGACAAGAGCAUCUGCUCCAACUCAUAAUACCAACACAAAGUAAACAAACAUUCCCUCCACCACCACCCAAACGCAAUCCUCCGUUCCUUCACAAUCCCUAAGAAUAGCUUUGCUAUUAAACUAAUUUUUACACCA